GCAUUGGUAGUUCAGUGGUAGAUUUCUAACCUAGCAUGUGGGAGUCCCGGGAACAAUUCCUGGCCAACGCA
rnacentral:tRNA from 1 species